AGCAGCCGCGGUAAUUCCAGCUCCAAUAGCGUAUAUUAAAGUUGUUGCAGUUAAAAAGCUCGUAGUUGAAUUUCGGGGUCAGUAAGUUGGUCGUGCCACUGGUAUGUACUGGCUUUACUGAUUCCUCCUUCUUGUAGAACCGUAAUGCCAUUAAGUUGGUGUUGCGGGAAAACAGGACUGUUACUUUGAAAAAAUUAGAGUGUUUAAAGCAAGCUAACGCUUGAAUACAUUAGCAUGGAAUAAUGAAAUAGGACGAACGAUCCUAUUUUGUUGGUUUCUAGGAUUGACGUAAUGAUUAAUAGGGGUAGUUGGGGGCCAUUAGUAUUCAAUUGUCAGAGGUGAAAUUCUUGGAUUUAUUGAAGACUAACUACUGCGAAAGCAUUUGCCAAGGAUGUUUUCAUUAAUCAAGAACGAAAGUUGAGGGA
rnacentral:rRNA from 1 species